AACGAACGCUGGCGGCGUGCCUAACACAUGCAAGUCGUGCGGGAAAGUAGGGGCAACUCUACAAGUACAGCGGCGCACGGGUGAGUAACACGUAGGUAACCUGCCUCGGAGACUGGGAUAACCUGUCGAAAGACGGGCUAAUACCGGAUACGACCACGGGAGUUGAGGCUUUCGUGGUGAAAGGUGGCCUCUGCUUAGCAAGCUACCAAUCUGAGAUGGGCCUGCGCGCCAUAGCUAGUUGGUGAGGUAACGG
rnacentral:rRNA from 1 species